AUCGCUUCUGCCGCAAUUCCAGUGGCCGCCAUGCAACUAAUGAAGACCCGUUCCGCCAUUUCCAUGGUGGCGGCAAAAAGUACGCCCAGAAACAGAAGCGUCCUCUUAAACGGGGCCAAUCAAAC
rnacentral:ribozyme from 1 species